AUAUGAUCCCUGAUUUAUUCAUUUCCUUGCAAAUACAACAUUCGAUACAAAUGACAUUGUCGUUGUAUAUAGUGACAUUGGCAUGAUAAUUUCGUGCUUUUGUCUCUGUUUAUUUUUCCAUUGUAAAUGGUGAUACUGAUGACAGUGGUUCCGGUGGUUCAAUCCAAUACACUCUUUUAUUAUACAAUGUACUUCUUUACUUAUUUCCUAUUCUGAAAACAGUACACGUAUACAUGUACAGUGUACAUACAUGUACAUAUACCGGAUAAUUAUGCUAGUGCCAAAGUGGCAUUUUUGCUCCCGCUUAAAGGUUUUACGCAAGGAAAUAAACAAUCAAAAUGAACUUAAGUCCAGGGCAAAUCUUCUCUGCAUAGAGUUCCUCGUGGCUUUGGUUCUUCCCUGAAACAUGUGACUGCUGAAUAGAGCCUUGGCUGUCUGUUUUCUUUGAGAGUCAAAGAAGUGGCGCAGGUCUUUGAGGUUUUCAAUGACAUGUCCUUGGUUUUCAGAUGCACCGGAAGUAGCGAUACUAUCUCCAGUAUGACAAUGUGGACGGUCAUCACUUUGCAGUUCACCGAUGCAUUCCGCAGCCCAUUUCUUUUCAUCUCAAGUGGCGCUCUCUGGAGGAAUAGUUGCAGUGCAGUCUUCAUAUUCUGGGCAGGUGACUUCCCUUCCCUUGGUUCUAAGAUGGGCGCCUUUCUUGCAUAGUUUAUAGCCACAAGACACUGCCACAGCACUCUUCUUCUUGGUAACAUUUUCAUUUAAAGUGUAUGUCACUUGUGUGGCAGCUUGGAAUGAGGAUUUACCAAUGGCACUGAAGGUGGCAUUGCUAUACCGGGCAUCUCUUUCUGCUCUUAUAGGUAAAUUGGUCUGAAUGUUGGUGGCUGUUGCUCGUUCGAUGUUUGCGCCAAGGAGCAUACCAUGCAUGCCCUCUGUUAUAAGGCUGGUACCCAAGUGGCCGACAGCCAUGGCCACAUUAAGCUGCGCGGCUCUUCGUUCUCUUUCAGAUCGACUUCAUCGUACAGCUUUUCACAGUGACUGGUGUAGUGGUACUUCUUACAUCGAAUGGGAAUGACCUUGCUUUUCCUUCCCAUGCUGGUUCCAGUCCAGUGAACCGUCACAGUCCGAAAAUUUCUACCUGCCAUGUGUUCUAGUAAGAGAAACUCCAUCUUUGAUGACUGAUGGAAAAGCCUCAUCAACCCCCAUUGCUAAGUAAAGAACCUCUUUACUGAAUCGCUAGCCAUUAAUCAGUGACCAUGGCCACCGUUACCAAAGCACCGAGCGUGACGUCACAAUCUUUGCUACGUCAUAAUACCUUAUCAGCUGUGUAAUUGAAAGGCGUUGUUUGCAUCCAAGGAGAAUUGCAUUGAAGAAAACCCGCUGUGUAUCGUAUAUUCCAUCACUGGAAUACUGUAUUCGUAGAUCAACAAGUUCAGUAUUUUACCAAAAAAAGCCCUGCAGAUUGUAUAUCAAUAUGAUUGGAUUUACCAUUUUUGUUAUGGUGGUUUUCGAGACCUAUAAAUGGUGGAAGAAGGAUGAUGAAGUAGAUAUCGACAAUGAGAUAUCUCGGGAAAUCGAUGAGAUGCUGGAGAACAUUCAAAAUUCUUUGUAAAAAAUGAAGAAAAAUAAAAUAUAUUUAUGACAUAUAU